GACGAACGCUGGCGGCGUGCUUAACACAUGCAAGUCGAACGGAAAGGCCCUGCUUUUGUGGGGUGCUCGAGUGGCGAACGGGUGAGUAACACGUGAGUAACCUGCCCUUGACUUUGGGAUAACUUCAGGAAACUGGGGCUAAUACCGGAUAGGAGCUCCUGCUGCAUGGUGGGGGUUGGAAAGUUUCGGCGGUUGGGGAUGGACUCGCGGCUUAUCAGCUUGUUGGUGGGGUAGUGGCUUACCAAGGCUUUGACGGGUAGCCGGCCUGAGAGGGUGAACGGCCACAUUGGGACUGAGAUAGGGCCCAGACUCCUACGGGAGGCAGCAGUGGGGAAUAUUGCACAGUGGGCGGAAGCCUGAUGCAGCAACGCCGCGUGCGGGAUGACGGCCUUCGGGUUGUAAACCGCUUUCGCCUGUGACGAAGCGUGAGUGACGGUAAUGGGUAAAGAAGCACCGGCUAACUACGUG
rnacentral:rRNA from 1 species